rnacentral:lncRNA from 1 species
GAAUGUCAAUGUGAGAAAAAUAAAAUCAAGCUUAAAAGCUGUAAGGAAAGAGAAAAAUGUUUUUAAGAGAGAAACAUUUUUAUGAAGAUUCAUUAAUUUUUGUAAUUUUAAAGGCAGUAAAAAAAUUAUUUUAUGAAUCUAUGAAAAAAAAUACAGAGGUAGAGGAAAAAUCAUAGGAUUUCAACAGGUUUUAAGACACCAUUUUGAGUAUCUAAGACAUAUUUUUCUCAGGUUGUCGUUCAGGCUUCUUUACUAUAGUGAAAAACAUGAAAACUGACAAUUCUAAACUCACAGAAGAAAAUAAAAACAUUACAAAUAUGCUACACCAUAAAACUUUUACAAAAAAUGCAUACAUUUUGUUAUCUCUUUUUCUCUUCCCCAAGUCUUUGAUUUCCUCUAAAAGACAAGUUUACUGAUUUGUGUUUAAGAAGUAGUUUUUAGAAAGAUGAAAACAACAACAGCAAAAAGAGAAAAUUUUGACCAGGAGAAAAAUCAAACAAUGGCAAAAGAAUGAAAAAAAAAAAAAUAGAAAAAACUAAAGCAUCUAAAGCUGGAAUGACUUCAGUGGCUUUCUGGAGGAUUUGUAGUGAAAUGACGCAUUGAAAUGCAGAUUAUGUGAAUCUGAGCAGAUGAAAGGUAGAAGAUGUUUAUAUUGAAGCAGGAAACACAAACAUACGGCUUUUCUGGCGUUUUACACCCGAACGUGAUACAGACACACAGACACAGUUCAGUUCGACUCUUCAACAAUCUGCACAUUAACACAAACACACUUCCCAUCUAGUUAUAUAUAUAUUUACAUAACAUUUCUGAAAAUAUAUAUUUACAAAUAUUAUUUGAAUUGUUCAGAAAUAAAGACACACAAGAGCAUAUUAAUACUUUAUUCAUACUUUAAUGAUCGUCAAAACAAUCUAUUGGUUGCCAGAUUAUUCAAGAGGAUCUAUGUAUACGUACAUUAUCAUGCGGAAAACAAGUCAGACUUCUGGUCUUCGCUGGACUCUUCACACAUCAUGUGAUGUGAAACCAGAUCCAGCGUUCACACCGCAGACUGACUUCAGAUUAAACAUUCCAGGAGUUCACUUAUAAUAAAUGCUUCUUUACAGAUGUUAUGGUGUUUCUAUAACCUUUAUACGCUAAACACACACACAAACUAUCACACUCACACACUCUGAUUCACUCAUUCAUUCACUCACACACACACACACACACACACUCUCACUAACUCAAUCACUCACUCACUCACUCACACACACACACACACACACUCACUCAUUCACACACACUAACUCAAUCACUCACACACACACACACACACACACUCUCACUAACUCACUCACUCAAACACACACACACUCACACUAACUCAAUCACUCACUCACACUCACUCUCUCACUCACUCACUCUCACUCUCUCACUCACUCUCACUCUCACUCACUCUCACUCACUCACUCACUCACUGUUUCACACUCACUCACUGUCUCACACUCUCUCACUCACUCUCUCACUCUCU